rnacentral:rRNA from 1 species
CCUACGGGUGGCUGCAGUGAGGAAUAUUGGUCAAUGGGCGCGAGCCUGAACCAGCCAAGUAGCGUGAAGGCUGACUGCCCUACGGGUUGUAAACUUCUUUUAUCAAGGGAUAAAGUGAGGCCCGUGUGCCUUUUUGUAUGUACUUUCUGAAUAAGUAUCGACUACCUCCGUGCCAGCAGCCGCGGUAAUACGGAGGAUCCGAGCGUUAUCCGGAUUUAUUGGGUUUAAAGGGAGCGUAGAUGGUUUGUUAAGUCAGUUGUGAAAGUUUGCGGCUCAACCGUAAAAGUGCAAUUGAUACUGGCAGUCGUGAGUACAGUUGAGGUAGGCGGAAUUCGUGGUGUAGCGGUGAAAGGCUUAGAUAUCACGAAGAACUCCGAUUGCGAAGGCAGCUUACGAAACCGCCACUGACAUUGAUGCUCGAAAGUGUGGGUAUCAAACAGGAUUAGAUACCCCUGUAGUC